rnacentral:rRNA from 1 species
CCUACGGGAGGCUGCAGUGGGGGAUAUUGCACAAUGGGGGGAACCCUGAUGCAGCGACGCCGCGUGGGUGAAGAAGCGCCUCGGCGCGUAAAGCCCUGUCAGCAGGGAAGAAAAUGACGGUACCUGAAGAAGAAGCCCCGGCUAACUACGUGCCAGCAGCCGCGGUUAUACGUCGGGGGCAAGCGUGAUCCGGAUUUACUGGGUGUAAUGGGGGCGCAGACGGCGAUGCAAGCCAGGAGUGAAAGCCCGGGGUCCAACCCCGGGACUGCUCUUGGAACUGCGUGGCUGGAGUGCAGGAGGGGCAGGCGGAAUUCCUGGUGUAGCGGUGAAAUGCGUAGAUAUCAGGAGGAACACCGGUGGCGAAGGCGGCCUGCUGGACUGCAACUGACGUUGAGGCCCGAAAGCGUGGGGAGCAAACAGGAUUAGAUACCCCUGUAGUC